GGUGACCUCAGCACCUGCUGUCACCCCCGACAGGUGAGGAAAAGGACACCCACAGGCCAUGUGCAGCUGGGAGCUAGUCUCAAACCGGAGACCAGCUUCACGGUGGCCCCUGCUCUUGCUUCGGUCUUCCUGGCCUGGGAGCCUCCCAGAACCUCUGUUUUCUCAUCUGCUAGGAACACCCUUCCUGGCUCUGUGUUGACUCUGCCUGCGCUCAUCUUUUCCAAGGAUGAGGUGGAUCCCCGGAGGCUGAGCCUGCCUGGUGAACCAGAUGCCAACAGCCAGACCACCAUCCCCUGGCGCUGAUCUGUGGUGGCUGCUGUUCUUCUGUGGCUUCCGCAUCAAUGUCAUCAGCAGGGACGUUAACGUGAUGUCCGAGGGGACGGCCAAGUGCCCGGCACCGUGCACGAGGGAGUCUCACCCCCCUUUCAAUGGCGUGUCCUGGCUGGGCCACCGGCUGACCCACCCCAAUUAGGUGGCUCUUGUGUUAAUAUUGACACACAAAGCAGCCAGCUGGCGACCUCUGACCCGGCCUCACUUGGGAUCACAGGCUCAUUUUGGCCCCGGCCUCAGCCCUGAGAGCCGGACGCGUAAUCUCCUUUGACACCAGAAGCGGCCUGCCUCCCCCUGACCUCUGCUCCCUGCCUCCUGGAUUUCCGCCUUCCCUGGGCCUGAGGGAUGUCAUGUGGCCUGCGUGUGGACACAGCCUGGACCCGGGGCGGGGUGGUCGAGAGCGGUCGGGAUGGGCCAGGCCAGGCAGCCGGCUUCUGAGGGAGGAGGGCUCACAGUGGACGCCCAGGAGGGAGCCGGGCUGGGAUAGGCAGGAAGUGGG